UUAGUGGCGGGACGGGUGAGUAACGCGUAGGAAACUGCCGUAUACGUGGGGGAUAACACUUAGAAAUAGGUGCUAAUACCGCAUAAGCGCACAGCUUCGCAUGAAGCGUGUGAAAAACUCUGGUGGUAUACGAUGGUUCCGCGUCUGAUUAGCUAGUUGGUGGGGUAAUGGCCUACCAAGGCAACGAUCAGUAGCCGGCCUGAGAGGGUGAACGGCCACAUUGGGACUGAGACACGGCCCAAACUCCUACGGAAGGCAGCAG
rnacentral:rRNA from 1 species